rfam:Schistosoma mattheei strain Denwood, Zambia genome assembly, scaffold: SMTD_scaffold0013011
AUCCGGCUGAAGUGUCCAAAAUAGGACGAAACGCGCGUAUGGAU